rnacentral:rRNA from 1 species
UACGUAGGGUGCGAGCGUUAAUCGGAAUUACUGGGCGUAAAGCGUGCGCAGGCGGUUUUGUAAGCCAGAUGUGAAAUCCCCGGGCUUAACCUGGGAACUGCAUUUGGGACUGCAAGGCUUGAGUGCGGCAGAGGAGACUGGAAUUCCUGGUGUAGCAGUGAAAUGCGUAGAUAUCAGGAGGAAUACCGAUGGCGAAGGCAGGUCUCUGGGCUGACACUGACGCUCAUGCACGAAAGCGUGGGGAGCGAACAGG